CAAAAUAAAUUCUGACAAUAGGAAAAAGUUAGAAGUAAACCACGUAGCUGGUUCAAAGUCAUUUGUAGAAAUUCGUCAUGACAUGCAAGAUUUCGUCACUGGCCAGGAGCCCGAACCAGUAGACCUCUACAAAGGGACUCACUGUCGGCAGGCAACGGGAUCUUGGGUACAUCUUAGAGCCAGCGAGAUUUGAGCAGUGAUGGACACCUUACGCAGUCAGCCCACUCCCGAUGGUACUCAACAGAGUGAGCCAGAGAUCCUGAGUGAGGUGCUUGGCACCCGUUCUAGAUAUGUACAUGUGCUUGGCCAUGGUGCCAAGCUCAUGGCACCCGCUAGAGCUGCCUCCACCCGAUCUAUCGUCGUUGGCGAGAGCGCCACCCGCCAAGCUGAUAUCGUAGAGAGAGAGGUUCAACGGCUACGGGUCGUCGUCCAUGACAUUAGAGAGUAGCUGGAGAGGAAGAGUAAGCAGCUGGAGAGGCAGAUGGAGUAGCAGGAGAGGAGGAUAGAGGAACUGGCGAGGCAGAGGGAGGAGCAGGAGAGGAGGAUGAAGGAGAUGCGGGAGGAGCAUGAGCGACGGAUAACGGAGAUGUUUCAGGCUCUCGCUGCACGCUUACCCAUCGAUGCCCCACCACCUCCAUCUUCAUCUUUGUGAUUUUUUGUAUUUUAUUUAUGAUGUUAAACUUAUAUGUAUUUAUGCAUGAAUGAAUGUCAUGUGGAUGAAUGUA